UAGGGAAUCUUCGGCAAUGGACGAAAGUCUGACCGAGCAACGCCGCGUGAGUGAAGAAGGUUUUCGGAUCGUAAAACUCUGUUGUUAGAGAAGAACAAGGACGUUAGUAACUGAACGUCCCCUGACGGUAUCUAACCAGAAAGCCACGGCUAACUACGUGCCAGCAGCCGCGGUAAUACGUAGGUGGCAAGCGUUGUCCGGAUUUAUUGGGCGUAAAGCGAGCGCAGGCGGUUUCUUAAGUCUGAUGUGAAAGCCCCCGGCUCAACCGGGGAGGGUCAGUGGAAACUGGGAGGCGGGAGUGCAGAAGAGGAGAGUGGAAGUCCAUGUGUAGAGGUGAAAUGCGUAGAUAUAUGGAGGAACACCAGUGGCGAAGGCGGAUCUCUGGUAUGUAAAAGACGAAGAGGCUCGAAAGCGUGGGGAGCAAACAGG
rnacentral:rRNA from 1 species